rnacentral:tRNA from 1 species
GCAGUGGGGGUUCAGUGGUAGAAUUCUCGCCUUCCGAGCAGGAGACCUGGGUUCAAUUCCCGGUCACGUGCA